rnacentral:rRNA from 1 species
AGCGAACGCUGGCGGCAGGCUUAACACAUGCAAGUCGAGCGGGCACUUUCGGGUGUCAGCGGCGGACGGGUGAGUAACGCGUGGGAACGUGCCCUCUGGUUCGGAAUAACUCAGGGAAACUUGAGCUAAUACCGGAUACGCCCUUUUGGGGAAAGGCUUGCUGCCGGAGGAUCGGCCCGCGUCUGAUUAGCUAGUUGGUGAGGUAACGGCUCACCAAGGCGACGAUCAGUAGCUGGUCUGAGAGGAUGAUCAGCCACACUGGGACUGAGACACGGCCCAGACUCCUACGGGAGGCAGCAGUGGGGGAUAUUGGACAAUGGGCGCAAGCCUGAUCCAGCCAUGCCGCGUGAGUGAUGAAGGCCUUAGGGUUGUAAAGCUCUUUUAUCCGGGACGAUAAUGACGGUACCGGAGGAAUAAGCCCCGGCUAACUUCGUG